UACGGAGGAUGCGAGCGUUAUCCGGAUUUAUUGGGUUUAAAGGGUGCGCAGGCGGCACGGCAAGCCGGCGGUCAAAUCGCGGGGCUCAACCCCGCCCAGCCGUCGGAACUGCCGGGCUAGAGUGGGCGAGAAGUGCGCGGAAUGCGUGGUGUAGCGGUGAAAUGCAUAGAUAACACGCAGAACUCCGAUUGCGAAGGCAGCGCACCGGCGCCCUACUGACGCUCAGGCACGAAAGCGUGGGUAUCGAACAGG
rnacentral:rRNA from 1 species